GACCUUAUCCGCGGAACUUCUGCUCUCCUCUGCUAUGGGGAUAUUCUCUUGAUUCUGCAUCAUUUAUAGGCAUUAUUGAGUACUAACUGGAUGUGCUUACUAAAACCAAAGAAAGCGUCACUGUGAAAGCUGUUGUCGUGAUAUUGCAAUCAGUUUUUUGAUACUUAAAGGGAAGCUUCAAGAGGAGAAUGCAGAGGUCAUGCACACAUGAAUAUGCAUCUGCAACAAGCUAUGGUAACUGAGGUUCUCCCCAGCCAGGUGUACUUUCUGUUGUGGCUGUCAAGUUGCCAAAACCAAUUCCCAAGCAUUGCAGGAACAUUAUUUGACGACCUUCAUACGAACCCAUCAUAUGCAAGUACAAUUUGUAUACCUAGUUUCCAUUGUUAUUCGAAGAUCUUGUUGAUAUCCUAUUUUGUGUACCAAUCAUUAAAG